GGGGGAAGACCACGGCGAGGGUUACUGAUUGCUCAGGGACCCUGACAGUCUGUAAGGAAUUCAGACAUUCAAACUUGAAAAUUUGACUGGACGGACCUGAACAAGGAACUGCAUUGAACUGCACUGAACUGCAGAGUUAAGAGCUCUGUAAUUUGACUGUCUGGAGACUAGGCCAGGUCUCACUGUGUCCUGCACUGGAAGUGAAGUGUGAGGUGUGAAAUCAUCCAGUCUGGAUGGAUGGUUUUGGAAAGACUUUAAACCAUGGCUGUCAUGGACCCUGCCAUGUCCAGCUGUUGCUAGCUGAGCCGUUGGGCUGGUGCCGACGGUGGUGGUAUCCCUUUCCCGUGUGCUGUUGGAACCCUGGGUUUUUGUUUGAUCCCUCCUGUGUGUGUGUUUGUGUGAAUUCACCUGGUGACCGUCCCCUGGGACCCACUCCUUCCCCGUCGACACUCCCCGGUGGGACGCCAGCUCUGGGCAGCUCACUCCCUCCCCUUUUUAAAAAAAAUAUAAUUGUUUAAGUGAAGUUUUAUUGUAACAAAGACUAAUUGUAUUAUUAUCACGGAA